UGGGGAAUAUUGCGCAAUGGGGGCAACCCUGACGCAGCAACGCCGCGUGAAGGAAGAAGGUUUUCGGAUUGUAAACUGCUUUAGACAGGGAAGAAAAAGGACAGUACCUGUAGAAUAAGCUCCGGCUAACUACGUGCCAGCAGCCGCGGUAAUACGUAGGGAGCAAGCGUUAUCCGGAUUUAUUGGGUGUAAAGGGUGCGUAGACGGGAAGUCAAGUUAGUUGUGAAAUCCCUCGGCUCAACUGAGGAACUGCAACUAAAACUAACUUUCUUGAGUGCUGGAGAGGAAAGUGGAAUUCCUAGUGUAGCGGUGAAAUGCGUAGAUAUUAGGAGGAACACCAGUGGCGAAGGCGACUUUCUGGACAGUAACUGACGUUGAGGCACGAAAGUGUGGGGAGCAAACAGGAUUAGAUACC
rnacentral:rRNA from 1 species